rnacentral:lncRNA from 1 species
AUUCGCGCCUCCCGGAAGGGAGAAAAGCCCGCCCGAGGCGCGGUGCUGACGGUGGCUGGGCUGCCGGGUGCGCUGUGGAACCGCCUCCUGCUAGAGCAGCGGGCUGGCGACGGUCCUCGCCGGGGCGGGAAGCGGCUCAGGCUGCCCUCGCUGGCCUGCGGCGGCGCGGCUGGAAGCGCGGGCCACUCGUGCGUGGGUCACUCAGGACUGCGCCUCGCGCGACUGUGUGUGCAGGAAACAAGCAGGAAAUACCCUAAAAGAGAAUGAAGCGCCAUGUUGAGGGUCGCGGACGUCGCGAGUGCUGUGGGAAUGUGGGCUGAGGUGGAGAGUUAUGGUAGCCCGUGUUACAGGCUCAGGGGUCUGAAAGAAGCCUAAUCGUGGAGGCGGCAUCUGAGGAGGGUCUUGAAGGCUGGGCAGGCAUUUGCCCGACAGAGAUGGAGGAAGCUAGUCCUGUCUGAUGGAGGAAACAGGGCGGAGGCGUGGAGGGAGCCGUGCAGCGCUGGUGUGAGGAGCAGCGAGCAGGCCAGGCCUGUAAAGCAGAGUGAGGGAACCAGGAUAGAGAAGGCAAGUCGGGGUCCUGUGGUCGCUGAAGAAUUUGAAUGAAAUCAGUAAACAGGUGAGAGGGAUCCAUCGCAAGAGCAUGGGAUGAAAGGAGGAGUAGUCCACGGUGAUUCCUCUGCAGCGGUGGGUGUUAUUAAUCGCGUAUGUGACACCAAAACCACCCCACUCAAGCUGUGGCUCUUUCCCUAAAGUAGAAAACCGAGACCAGUUGGGUUCCAAGCAUCCACGAAGAUCUUAUUAAAUUCGUGAUCCCUGGUGGCACCAUGGAGUCAGGAUUGGCUCAUCUCAAACCUGACUCAGAAACAAAACCGUCACAAUGUGCAGAGAUGAGCGUCCUUACCGCUAUCAACGUAUUUUCUGGUGUUUUCACAGUGCUGCGCUUCCUAAUCCCCAUUCCAUGGCAAUCCACAUGCCAUGAUGCCCGGAGUCAUUAACAAAGGAGACACACAGGGGCUCCUCACGUUGGCUUUCCAGGGUUUUGAUGAAAAUCUGUUUCCUCGUCUCAUACAAUGUGGCUGUACAGGAAGCAUGGUGAUGGCAUCUGCAUGGCGCCUGUGGAGGCCCCAGGGAGCUUUUACUCAUGAUGGAAGGCACAGAGGGAGUAGGCACAUCACAUGGUCCGAGGAGGAGCAAGAGAAAAUGGGAGUGGGGCUCUUUGUCCUGGGAAGAGUUUGCUGCAUCUUCCAGUUUCAGUAAUCAAAGAAGCAAAGUUCCCUGCAGUUCUUCAAGGAACCUUGAGAAUUCAGAAGGUCUUGGGGUGGCUGCAUCCAUCCUGCAGACAAAUGCCAAUCAGCAGAGGGGCCAUUCCCAGGGACACAUGUCUGGCUGACUUGGGCCUUGGCCAGGUAAGACACACAGCAUGCAUGCCUGCAUUUCUGAAUGCCAUAGACCUGACAAGUCAUAAAAUAGCAACCAAUAAUUUUAUGUUAGAGUGCUCCCUUCCUCACAGAAAUCUCAGCAUAUGUGAAGAUAGGUUGGAAUGUGUAAAGAAAAGCUAAGAAAGCAGAUUUCUGAUAAGAACAGCGUGUGACUUGUACAGCAGCUCUGAAUUACAGCCCGUAGGAUGGAAUGCUGACAGUUCCUUCUUCCUUACCUGUGAUGGCUAGAAUUUUAUUUAGCACAUCGUUUUUGAGCCAAUCUCAAAAUGAGAAAACUUUUGAGGAAUUAUGCAUAGUGUGAAGUAUAUUCUUUCCCUUGUUGCCCGUGGAGAUUCCACUGUGACAGGGCAGAUUUCCCACUGCAGGGUCGAUGGAGAUGCUGCUGCUGUCUUUGGACAUAAUAGUUUAUGACAAAGAGACCAAAAUAAUUCCUGUUUAGCCAUGCGGUUGUCUGUAAAUCUGCUUAGUUGGUCAUCCAAAGUGAUGACAUUUAAGAUAUAGUUGAUACACUGUUUAUCUUAAAGAAACAUUUUAAAAUUAAUUCUUCAGACCUAUGUAAUAUUUUAUCUUUUCUGUUUAAUAAUAUCCAAAUGUGCUUUUGUGAAGCACAAAACACAUGUGUAUUUCUUCAUAAAUCAGUCAGAUAGCUUUGAAAAUAUAUUUCAAGUAUGUAGCAAAGACCCUCAAAACACAAUUAUUGAAGCAUUAUAAAAAGGUGAAUUUGCUUCAGUUUUGGACUUUUAAUAGACUUCACUGUUAUGUAGUAAAGAUAGAAAUAUGCCAUAAAAGUCUCUGGUUAAGAGCCAAGACUUUUUCUCCUGUAUCAUUUCAGAUCCCGUCAUUUCUACCUGAUCUUUAGGAUAGACUAUGCACAUUCAGAGUGUUGAGUAAAAUUAUUAGAAAAUAUAAUACCCAUAACAUGGUUCUUUAUACCCUUUAAGUAAAUAUGUUGGCACAUGAAUUCACAAUUUAAAACGCUGACUUUGUAAGAAAUUUGCAUGUGUCUCCAGUGAAGAUAUUGUUGCCCUUGUGUUCUUUGUGCGUGAUUUAUGACAAAAUUAUGAGACCUUUACAUUUGUGGAAAUAAAACACGUAAAGUUAAAAAAAAAAAAAAAAAAAAAA